rnacentral:rRNA from 1 species
GAUGAACGCUGGCGGCGUGCCUAAUACAUGCAAGUCGAGCGAACAGACGAGGAGCUUGCUCCUCUGACGUUAGCGGCGGACGGGUGAGUAACACGUGGAUAACCUACCUAUAAGACUGGGAUAACUUCGGGAAACCGGAGCUAAUACCGGAUAAUAUAUUGAACCGCAUGGUUCAAUAGUGAAAGACGGUUUUGCUGUCACUUAUAGAUGGAUCCGCGCCGCAUUAGCUAGUUGGUAAGGUAACGGCUUACCAAGGCGACGAUGCGUAGCCGACCUGAGAGGGUGAUCGGCCACACUGGAACUGAGACACGGUCCAGACUCCUACGGGAGGCAGCAGUAGGGAAUCUUCCGCAAUGGGCGAAAGCCUGACGGAGCAACGCCGCGUGAGGGAUGAAGGUCUUCGGAUCGUAAAACUCUGUUAUUAGGGAAGAACAAAUGUGUAAGUAACUAUGCACGUCUUGACGGUACCUAAUCAGAAAGCCACGGCUAACUACGUG